AUCCAGCCUUAGCAAAGCCAAGCUCCAGACAUACCAGGUUCUGUACUUGACUCUCAGCCACCUGCAUCUUUAGCAGCCAUGAGAUUGUUUUUCCUCUUUCUUGUCCUGAUCCAGUAUUUGCUUGUGCCCAGCCAAGGUGGCAAGCCGUUUUACCCUCCUCCCAUUUUUCCUCAAGAUAUGCGACGUGAGCUUCAGUUAGAAGAAACAUUUGUGGAUAGUGAUGCUUUACAAUAAAGAGAUGAAGGACCUCAAGCAAGAGCGGUGUUCUGUUUCCUACAACAUGUUGCAUCCCAAAAAGAUGGUCCAGCAUUUGUCUGAUUAAAUAUUUUACUGAAUUCAUCUAGAAC